CGGGCAAGAUGGCUGCGAAGACUUUUGCAUCCCGCUUCCGAGGCUCCCGACGCUUUUUGAGUGGCUUCGUAGCUGGAGCCGUCGCGGGCGCUGUGGGAACCGGGCUAACUGUCGUGCAGUUCCUCCGGAGUCAGGACGCUGAGCCAGCGUUGGCGGUGAGGGAGCCGGACGCUUCUUCAGAAAGGGCUCUCUUAGAACAAUUUGGAUUCCCUUUAACUGGAACAGAGACGAGGUGCUACACUAACCACGCCUUGUCUUAUGAUCAGUCAAAGCGGGUGCCUAGAUGGGUUCUUGAACAUAUAUCCAAGAGCAAGAUAACGGGUGAUGCAGACAGAAAACAUUGUAAAUUCAAGCCAGAUCCCAGCAUCCCUCCAACCUUCAGUGCCUUCAACGAGGACUAUGUUGGCAGUGGGUGGUCACGAGGCCACAUGGCUCCAGCAGGAGAUAACAAAUUCUCAUCUAAAGCCAUGGCUGAAACCUUUUACCUUUCUAAUAUCGUGCCUCAGAAUUUUGAUAAUAAUGCUGGUUAUUGGAACAGAAUAGAAAUGUACUGUCGAGAAUUGACGGAGAGGUUUGAGGAUGUCUGGAUAGUAUCUGGACCGCUGACCUUACCUCAGACUGGAAGCAAUGGAAGGAAAACAGUUAGUUACCAGGUGAUCGGCGAGGACAAUGUGGCGGUGCCCUCCCACCUCUACAAGGUGAUCCUGGCACGCAGAAGCCCGAGGUCUGCUGAGCCCCUGGCACUAGGGGCCUUCGUGGUGCCCAACAAGGCCAUUGGCUUCCAGCCCCAAUUAAGUGAGUUCCAGGUGAGCCUGCAGGAGCUGGAGAAGUUGUCAGGACUGGUGUUUUUCCCUCAUCUGGAUAGGACUAGUGACAUCAGGAACAUCUGCUCGGUGGACACGUGUAAGCUCCUGGAUUUCAGGGAGUUCACUCUGUACCUGAGCACAAGAAAGAUUGAGGGAGCCCGAUCGGUACUCAGACUGGAAAAGGUCAUGGAAAAUUUGCGGAACGCAGGCAUUGAACCUGAUGAGGACUUCAUGACUCGCUACGAGAAGAAACUGGAAGAACUCAAAGCUCAGGAGCAGUCAGGAGUCCUGGAGAGAAAGCCCUCGUAGUUCACGUCUCAGAAGCGUGAUGUCAUCUGUAAUGAAGCAGUAACAUCUUUAUUUCGAGACGUCAGGCUCUUUGGUCCAUGGAUUGAGAGACUAUUUCACCAAUAUCGUAUGCAGCAAAGGGGAACCUUACACAAGUGGCAAAGGACUUAGAAUAGAGCCCAGCAGGAGAUACAGAGUCUGAUCUUGAGGAAAUGGCUUCCUACAGAGCUGGGCUCAGUCUGCAGCCCUGCUUUUGGAAUGACUAUGCGCCUGACACCUCCCAGGCCACUUCAGGCAGCUACAGAGACCCACAAGGGGCCCCACACCCAGAAUCCAAGUUUUGGCUUCAAGAACAGUGAGGAGCUCCUGCACUGGCCCAUUCCAAGGGGUAGUGACCUGGAGCGUGUCAGAGGGGAGGACUGGCCCUUUACUGCUUAUGGGCAAAUCCCAACCCUGGAAAACCACUUUGCUGAAGGUGCUAUUGUCCAGAGGUGAGGCGACCCUAAGGAAGAAAGAUGGAGGUAGGAACCUUCCCAGCAGGAGAUGUGGAGACCAGGUGACUUUUCAAAGCUCUUCCGGCCCUGAGAGUCCACCACCCUUUGGGUGCACUGGGCUUGUUUCAGCUGUAGGAGGGCCCACCUGGAUUUAGAGAUUGUGGUCCUGUGCAGAGGGGACCAGGCACUACAGGUCCAAGGGGGCUUCAUUUGCUGGCAGAUCCUCCCCAGCUCCCUCAGCCCCAUGACAGUCCAGCCUUGGGACCCAAGCCUGCUCAGGCUCCAGGAAUGUGACACUAGCCCAGAUCACUGAGGCUUGAGGGGAACAUUGUAGGCAUUUCUUUUUUUUUUUUUUAAUUUAACUUUUGUUUUCUAUUGGAGUACAGUUGAUUUACAAUGCUGUGUUUUUUUAGGUGUUUGGCAACUUGAUUCAGUUAUACAUAGACAUAUAUCUGUUCUUUUUCGGAUUCCUUUCCCAUAUAGGUUAUUAAAGAGUGUUGAGUAGAGUUCCCUGUGCUAUACAGAAGGUCCUUGUUGUUAUCAUCUAUUUUAUAUAUAUUGGGGUGUAUAUGCUAGUCCCAACCUCCUCAUUUAUCCCUUCCACCACCUUUCCCCUUUGGUAACCAUAAAUUUGUUUUCUGAGUCUGUUUCUGUUUUGUAAAUUAGAUCAUUUGUAUCAAUUUGUAGAUUCCACAUCCAGUGAUAUCAUAUGACAUUUGUCUUUGUCUGACUUACUUCAGUUAGUAUUGAAACGGCGUACAAGCCCGUGUCCUUGUCUUUCUUUUGUAAUAAAAUGCUGACUCAAGAGUUAAUGAUUGGGAAAUGUGAAGAUAGAGAAACAAAGAAUAGCUGUUGGGCUGAGGAACUGGUAACAAUUUAGACUAUAAUUCUGCCACAUAGCAGAAUCAUGAAACCCACAGUUCCCUGAAAGAUACAAAGGCCUGACACACAUUCCUGAGUUGUUUUUACAGAAAGCAGACCCUUUCCAGAUGAAAACUGCUGACCACAAGAACAUAGACCCUAGACUGGUUGAAACCAGAGGUUGAUGAAGCUUGAAACUUCGCCUUGAUGCCAACCAAUCCGAGAAUUGUCUGCGAGUUGGAGCUCCGAGGCGGGGAUGGAAGACAGGAGAGAAGCUGUCCUGGCAGCUGCCAAGGCCACCUUUGCCUUGAGGACAUCCCCCUCUCCUUCUGCCCACACUGGUCCGGACUUCCUGCUCUGAGAAGAUGUUUUGGGGAAGGAGCAACGUAGAGUUUGGGACAUCACAGCACCUCCGCCAGCACUUUGGUAUAGAAAAGCCCUUUUCUUCAAGCUACUUAUGAUUUACAACAAUUUGGUAAUUUACACCUAUAGGUAAAAUAUUUUUUUCUCUCUGCCUGGUUCCUCCAGAAAUUAGAGACUCUUGGGUUCUGAGCAGCCUUAUCAGGUGAAUGGAAAAGACUGUCUCUUGACAUGUGCAGGAAUCUAGAUACUCUUGAGACCUGGAAAAGAGACAAAUUUACCCAAUGUAUAGAUAUCACAGGCAGAAUCUGCAGGCAGGCCUGGCCUUGAGAGGCCUUUUAAAAGUUUGAUCUGAGAUUCCUAAUGAAGAGUUCCAGUGCAGCCAAUAUAAAUGAGCCUAUAUGAGCAAUUACGUUUAUAUGAAUAAUCAGGCCAUGUAUAUUGAAACCAGACUUAUUUUGAACAAAUCAGCCUUAAUUUGGCUGGACUUAGCAAAAAAAUGAGGAUAAUCUAGAGAGAAAAAUUAUGCUUCAAUAGUAUACCUUUGUGGAUAUUGAAGUUUUGUAUUUAUUGAGGCUUUGUAUUUAUUAUCUAUGUCCAAGAUGGCUCCUUAUUGCUGUUACCUUAUUAUAAAGUUUAAUUGAACUAGUAAAAGAAUAUUCUAAGCUUGUUUCUAAAGCCAAUCAUAGUAAUCUAUCUUUGGAUGAAGAUCAGAUGCCCUGUGACCUACACCUAAGAGAUUAUGCACACUGGAAAAGACAUUAUUUAAAGGACUGUCAGCAAACUAAAUAAAAAGAUCCUUAAAAGAUACUCUUAACUAUGAUAUGUACCACAAAACUGAAGGGAAUUGACUCGAAUUCAUAUUUCCCAUUGAAGAAGGGCCUCUGCAUUUGAAUGUCUAUAGAAAAGACUGCUAACUCCAAACGACGCCCCCAUCAGGAUGAAAAGAAGACAACAGCAGUGGAAGACAGCUGACAUAAAAAUCUGGACCAGGCCCGUAAGAACCAUCCAACUAAUUCAAACUGCACUGUUUAUCAAAUGUUUGUCUUCCUAUCAAAACAGAAGGUUAUUGUUUUACUUCUAACCAUACUUUUGACCCCAGUGUUCAGCAUGAAAAAAAAAUUCUCUAGUGAAGUUGUAACAGAGUAUAAAUAUUCAUGACAUGUAUCACUGCUUGUUUUAAGUGUAUUGCUAAACGUGUACAAUGCUUGUGUGAUAAUUAAGUACAAGUGAUAAACUGUAUAGCCUGCAUUUUCCCAUUCACAUACCUCUGAGCCUGUUCAUGCUAUCUGAUUCGUUUUCCCCCAACAUGGAGAACUAAACAAACAAACAAAAAAAGGCAUAGGACCGAGGGACAUAAAUGGACCCAGAGCAGGCAACUGGGCCACCACUCUGGCAACGUUGGAAAAACAUACUGAUUAUCAAUGCCAUUUAUGGAAAUAUUUGCAGUCGAAACGGGAAAAUGAUGGAAGAAAUUUUCACAUGUUGAGGUAUGGGGAAAUCAUUCUGGCUUGUACAUGACUGAAUUUGAAAUUUAGGCUAAGCAAAACAGCCUGUUUUGGGUCUAUUAAACAUGCAUUGUACAUCUGCCUUAGCCAUUAAAAAAAUUACAUUAAAAAAUCAAAAUGAAAUAACUGUGGUUCAGACAUCCAAAAUGGAACUAGGUGGCCAGUAUGGAUGUGGGUUCAGACACGUUCCUAUACUACUGAAAACUUGAGUUCUCUAAACUUUAUCAGAGUUAAGAACACCAUCAGCCAUUUUCAAAACAAUAUCUAAUAGCAGCUGCCAACUGCAACCUUAUCCUCUCAAAGUCUUGUAACUAUGAAACCUAUUUCCUACUUUAAAAAUAGUAAUAGCAAAUGAGACAGCUCAAGCUAUAGCCUCCCAGCAAAAGCCUACUUGGUUACUAAAUAUAUGUAUAAAGAAAACACUCCAAAACUUAUUUUCCUGGUUGCCAUCUAAAAUAGGAGGAUUAUGUUGAAAAAUACUACAAAGGUGUAUUUUAACCAUUAUCUGCAUUGUAAUAUGUCUAAUAAUUUUCAAAUGUUUGUCUAGGUGCUAUGACAAAGCAAUCAGAGGUAAUAUUUUCUUAAUACAAAAUAUUGAUGCUAAGCUUCGAAUUCAAGAUUAUUUCCAACUCUGUCCAUUCCCCAAAUUAGUCAGGACUACACCCCACAUCAGCAGGACGUAACCAGAGCAGCUGUCACCCCAUUCCCACAGAGAAGGGGAAAAUUGAAACAGAGAUGGACUGACACUGAGUUCUUCUGCCAAGUUUAUGAUUAACCUCUCAAUCUAAAACAUUCCCUUUCAUGUUCUGUAGCUAUUCCUCCUCAACUGAGGAAUAUCAAAGAAAAAGGGAGAUUGAAACUGUGUACAAGCACCUGUGUCCUUCUCUUUGAAGAAGAACGCUGACUCAAGAGUCAGUGAUUGGGAAACGUGAAGAUGUAGAAACAAACAAUAGCAGGUGGGCUGGGGAACUGGAAGCAGUCCCCUCCAGAUGAAAACAACUGACAGCAAGAACAUAGACCCCAGACUGGAUGAAAACCAAAGGUUAAUGAAGUUUGAAAUUUCACCUCGACGCCAGCCAAUCUGAGAAUUUGCCAUGAGCUGAUCAUGCCCUGCUUCUUAAACACUAUAAAACUACUCACUACCCCCUCCAGGGUGGGCCACAAACUCUUGAAGGCAUUAGACCGCUGUGGCCUCCUUUGCCUGACAAAGCAAUUAAAGCUACACUUUUCUACUUCACACAACACUAUGUCUCCGCCUUCCUAUUCGGUACGGGUGACCAGAGGCGAAGUUUCAGCAACAAUAUGAUCAUCUCAAGGUCCAUAUGUGUUGCUGCAAGUGGCAUUAUUUCAUUCUUUUUAUGGCUGAAUAAUACUCCAUGGUCUAUACAUACCAAAAUUUAUCCAUUCAUCUGUCUGUGAACAUAGGGUUCCUUCCAUGUCUUCGCUAUUGUAAAUACUGCUGCAGUGGAUGUUGGGGUGCAUGGGUCUUUUCGAAUACGGGUUUUCUCUGGAUAUACCACAAGGAGUGGGAUUGUCAGAUCAUCUGGUAGCUUUUUAUAGAUUUUUAAGGAACCUCCAUACUGUUCUCUAUAGUGGCUGUUACCAGUUGCCAUUCCCACCAGUAGCUUAGGAGGGUUCCCUUUUCUGCACGCCAUCUCCAGCUAUUAUAGUUUGUAGACUUUUGGACAAUGGCCAUUGUGACUGGUGCA